UUCUGCUGUGCCUGCUUUCUGCUGGGUUUCCGCAAAGGAGUCAAUUUUCGUCAUCCUGGUCUGGUCUCUGCUUGUACAAUCUUGUUACCAAGCGGCGCAUUGUGUGGCUACACCAUCAGGGAGAAGAAACGCCUCGAGGGCCCAGCAUCGAUAAUCACUUGCCUUAAUGGCAUUCUGGAGCCAACGCGUCGCAUCGAACGUCAAGGCCGUCACAAGAAGCCAGCCUUUCCCUCGCCUUUUGAUAUACGCCUACCUCGCCCAUUGUCCGAUAUAAAGAUCCAUAAGGACUGCGAUCAUAUAAAAAAUGAAACCUGAAAUGGAUGCUCAGUGUAGCAGCAUCAAACCCGCGACUGUUUUAGGACUUUUUAGCCGAUAGCUUGCACCGUCAUCGUCAUCACAAUCAUGAUCCGGAUCUUCUCCUUGUUUGUUUCAUUGCUCGACCUCUGGUCCAUCCUGCAUAAGUCCGUCCUGUUGUUUUGAGGAAGAACCUGAAAUCAAGGCCUAGGCAGGAUCUUCGGCCUGCUGCAAAACGGGCCAGAAGCUAUAGCAGCGAGGAGGGGAUCGAAGAGGAGCCAUAGACUGGCACCACCGAUGGGAGGACAGAGAACAGGAUCUGAUCAAACGCCAUAGCCGCCGCCGCCGCCUCCGGACGGGCAAAACACGCAGGCAUCUGGAAGCUGUCCGGUUUGACCUCAGGUUUCGAUGGAUCUUGUGUGCGUGUGCCCGACCGUCUGAUAGAUAUAUUCCCACAUAUCACAUCACAUGAUCCGAUGUACUGCGGCCGGAGGGUUGUCCGAGCUCCGUGCAUUGGGGCCCCAGAUGCUCAUAUCGUAUACUAGCGCCCUCUGUUAGGGUCGGUGCGGGCGAGCACCGCUGAGUGGGGAAAGCUUGCAAAGCUGCUGAUCCAUACAGAUCACAGUGUCUAUGUGAGACCCCUUGCACAGGCACGUUCAUUCGUAGCCAGAUGUAUGUGUGCGUAACACAGCUAUCACUUCAUUCACUUAUAAAGACGACGGGAAGCAGAUGUAUGCGCGCGGUAAAUAAAGUUGAACAAUAAAUACGCGGAAAGCAAAAGUUCACCUUUUCGUUUCAGGUGUUCUUAAACGGACGAUUUUAGGAGAUUUAGUUCACAAAUUCGAGAUUAUGUUGAUGGGGAGGCAAUGCUAGGAAAAAUUAUUGACCAAUCAA